rnacentral:sRNA from 1 species
UCAAAUGAAUUGAUGAACUCAUCAGGCU